rnacentral:rRNA from 1 species
GAUGAACGCUGGCGGCGUGCCUAAUACAUGCAAGUCGAGCGAACAGGCGAGGAGCUUGCUCCUCUGACGUUAGCGGCGGACGGGUGAGUAACACGUGGAUAACCUACCUAUAAGACUGGGAUAACUUCGGGAAACCGGAGCUAAUACCGGAUAAUAUAUUGAACCGCAUGGUUCAAUAGUGAAAGACGGUUUUGCUGUCACCUAUAGAUGGAUCCGCGCCGCAUUAGCUAGUUGGUAAGGUAACGGCUUACCAAGGCAACGAUGCGUAGCCGACCUGAGAGGGUGAUCGGCCACACUGGAACUGAGGCACGGUCCAGACUCCUACGGGAGGCAGCAGUAGGGAAUCUUCCGCAAUGGGCGAAAGCCUGACGGAGCAACGCCGCGUGAGUGAUGAAGGUCUUCGGAUCGUAAAACUCUGUUAUUAGGGAAGAACAAAUGUGUAAGUAACUAUGCACGUCUUGACGGUACCUAAUCAGAAAGCCACGGCUAACUACGUG